rnacentral:SRP_RNA from 1 species
GCCAGGCGUGGUGGCGCACACCUGUAAUCCCAGCUACUUGGGAGGCUGAGGCAAGAGAAUUGCUUGAACCCGGGAGGCGGAGGUUGCAGUGAGCUGAGACAGUGCCACUACACUCCAGCCCGGGCAACAGAGCAAGACUCUGUCUCAA